UACAGAGGGUGCGAGCGUUAAUCGGAAUUACUGGGCGUAAAGCGCACGUAGGCGGCUUGGUAUGUCGGGUGUGAAAUCCCCGGGCUUAACCUGGGAACUGCAUUUGUGACUGCACGGCUAGAGUACGGCAGAGGGGGAUGGAAUUCCGCGUGUAGCAGUGAAAUGCGUAGAUAUGCGGAGGAACACCGAUGGCGAAGGCAAUCCCCUGGGCCUGUACUGACGCUCAUGCACGAAAGCGUGGGGAGCAAACAGG
rnacentral:rRNA from 1 species